AGCUUUGUGCAGUGGCAGUAUCGUAGCCAGAGAGGUUUAUCCAGCAAUGAUUAUUGCUAAUUGUAAACUUUUCCCAAUACCCUGCCGUGACAACUUGAAAUGUAGUCAGCAUUGGCAAUUUUUGAGUCUCUAUGGAGA